rnacentral:rRNA from 1 species
CCUACGGGUGGCAGCAGUGAGGAAUAUUGGUCAAUGGACGCAAGUCUGAACCAGCCAUGCCGCGUGCAUGAAGACGGCUCUAUGAGUUGUAAACUGCUUUUGUACGAGGGUAAACGCAGAUACGCGUAUCUGUCUGAAAGUAUCGUACGAAUAAGGAUCGGCUCACUACGUGCCAGCCGCCGCGGUACUACGGAGGAUUCAAGCGUUAUCCGGAUUUGUUUGGUUUAACGGGUGCGUAGGCGGUCGGAUAAGUUAGAGGUGAAAUCCCGAGGCUCAACUUCGGAAUUGCAUCUGAUACUGUUCGGCUAGAGAGUAGUUGCGGUAGGCGGAAUGUAUGGUGUAGCGGUGAAAUGCUUAGAGAUCAUACAGAACACCGAUUGCGAAGGCAGCUUACCAAGCUACUUCUGACGUUGAGGCACGAAAGCGUGGGGAGCAAACAGGAUUAGAUACCCCAGUAGUC